AAAUCGAUCAAAUAUAAAGUUUAAUAUGGAUUCUGUUAUAGACAUAAUAUAUUUAUACAUUGAGCGUUUGUCUUCAUUUAAAGAGUGGAAGUAUGAUAAAAGUAGAAAAAGAAACACUUAUAUAUUAUAUAUGCGGAAGAGAGAAUGAAUGCAAGGAGCACCAAACAAAGUGAUUUUUUUUCUGUCUUUACUUUAUUCCAAUUUCCUCAAUAUUUAAUCUAAAUAUUAUGGCUGUUUUUCAAUAAGAUACAUAAAUAACAGCUAAUUUAUAUCUAUAGAUUUUUCAUAAUAUACAUAUAAAUAGUUUUCCCAUAAUUCUUAAGUAACUAUAUGUAUAUUUUCAACUUUUAUCUAGAAAUUCACUUAAAAAAAAGGCAUUAUUUAUUUUGUCACCGCUUUUCCGCGAUGCUGAUUGGUUGUUGGUCAAGUUUGUACUAUGUGACUUGCUUCACACUGUCGUCUGCUGCUGUCUAACUUUUGACAAUUCAUCGCAUUGGACAAAAACUUUUAACAGUUCCCAGUAUUUGAAAAUCUCAAUUUGAUUGAGAAAGAGAAAGAGAGCCAGUUUUUGAGAAACGAAAGAAAUUUUAUAGAGAAAGAAAAAGAUUAGUGUGAGAGUUAAGUGUAAAAGAAAGAAAGAAGUUUAACCGAAAAGAAAUAAUUAAAUAAAGAGUUGGAAAAAGAGAAAGCGAGAAAUUACGUUUGGCAAGUAAUUAGAAGGAGAUACAGCGAGUGAGAAAGAAAGUUUUAGAGAAGAAAUAAAGAAAAAUAACAGUGAUAGAGAAGAGGGAGGGAGAGA
rnacentral:lncRNA from 1 species